rnacentral:rRNA from 1 species
UACAGAGGGGGCAAGCGUUGUUCGGAAUUACUGGGCGUAAAGGGCGCGUAGGCGGCCCGCUAAGUCGAACGUGAAAUCCCCGAGCUCAACUCGGGAACUGCGUCCGAUACUGGCGGGCUUGAAUCCGGGAGAGGGAUGCGGAAUUCCAGGUGUAGCGGUGAAAUGCGUAGAUAUCAAGUGGAACACCGGUGGCGAAGGCGAGUCCCUGGACAACACCUGACACUGAGGCACGAAAGCUAGGGGAGCAAACAGG